CUGGCAGCUGAGAUGUGAACAACUCCUGAACAGCAGGGCUGCAGCCAGGCUCCUGGCAAACACCUAAGCCAGGUUGUGCACAUCUCUUUCAAACAAACUGGAUCUUCAUUUACAGCUGUGUAAACCCCAAGAGGAAUGUAAUGGAUGUCGGACAGAGGACUGACAGUCACCCAUCUUUUGACACCUAAAUAAAUGGCCGGAUCUUCAAAACCACUGAGCAGUCUCAUUCCCACUGAAAUCUUGGCCUCUGCACACGUCACACAGAUUACACUCUGAAUAUGAAGAAAUUGAUUCUGGAGAUCCAGCAUGCCACUCAGAGGAGAAAAUACAAAACACGGUAAAAAUGACUGUGGCAGAAUCAUAGCCUUGAUAAUAACCUAUGAUGAUGACGGUGAUAAAGGAAACCAAUAUGAUGUAUUUUCAGUCCCCCGUUUAAAGGAGAUCAUCUAGCUUUGCUGUUAUUAUAGCUCCUGAAGAAGGGCUAAAAUGUAAUCAGUAUGUAAUGUGCAAGGACAGAAAUGUCAUAGAAAA